rnacentral:rRNA from 1 species
GACGAACGCUGGCGGCGUGCUUAACACAUGCCAGUCGAACGGAAAGGCCCUGCUUUUGUGGGGUGCUCGAGUGGCGAACGGGUGAGUAACACGUGAGUAACCUGCCCUUGACUUUGGGAUAACUUCAGGAAACUGGGGCUAAUACCGGAUAGGAGCUCCUGCUGCAUGGUGGGGGUUGGAAAGUUUCGGCGGUUGGGGAUGGACUCGCGGCUUAUCAGCUUGUUGGUGGGGUAGUGGCUUACCAAGGCUUUGACGGGUAGCCGGCCUGAGAGGGUGACCGGCCACAUUGGGACUGAGAUACGGCCCAGACUCCUACGGGAGGCAGCAGUGGGGAAUAUUGCACAAUGGGCGGAAGCCUGAUGCAGCAACGCCGCGUGCGGGAUAACGGCCUUCGGGUUGUAAACCGCUUUCGCCUGUGACGAAGCGUGAGUGACGGUAAUGGGUAAAGAAGCACCGGCUAACUACGUG